GACGAACGCUGGCGGCGUGCUUAACACAUGCAAGUCAUGGGGGCCUGGGCAACCAGGCAACCGGCGAACGGGUGCGUAACACGUGAGCAACCUGCCUAGGUGUGGGGGAUAGCCGGCCUAACGGCCGGGUAAUACCGCAUACGUUCUCGCUAGGGAGUCCUGGCGAGAGGAAACCCGUGGGGCAACUCACUGGGGCAGCUAGAGGGGCUCGCGGCCUAUCAGCUAGUUGGCGGGGUAACGGCCCACCAAGGCGGUGACGGGUAGCUGGUCUGAGAGGAUGGCCAGCCACAUUGGGACUGAGAAACGGCCCAGACUCCUACGGGAGGCAGCAGUGGGGAAUCUUGCGCAAUGGUCGAGAGACUGACGCAGCGACGCCGCGUGUGGGAGGAC
rnacentral:rRNA from 1 species